UACGUAGGGGGCAAGCGUUGUCCGGAAUCAUUGGGCGUAAAGAGCGUGUAGGCGGCCCGGUAAGUCCGCUGUGAAAGUCAAAGGCUCAACCUUUGAAUGUCAGCGGAUACUGCCGGGCUAGAGUCCGGAAGAGGCGAGUGGAAUUCCUGGUGUAGCGGUGAAAUGCGCAGAUAUCAGGAGGAACACCGAUUGCGAAGGCAGCUCGCUGGGACGUAACUGACGCUGAGACGCGAAAGCGUGGGGAGCAAACAGG
rnacentral:rRNA from 1 species